AAAUGAAGUGCCUGAAAUCAAAGGGUUAUUUUGAUAGAAUAAAUCAUGUAAGAAAACCAUUACCUUCAUU
rnacentral:tRNA from 1 species